ensembl:lncRNA
CGUAACUAUGCAAUGACUGCUAAUAUUUUCAUGCCGAAUCUCUAUACGGAAAUUGCAAACCAUAAAAACGCGUACAGCGUUCUCCUUUAAUUGAAAUACUCGACGGUAGCCAUAACGUCAGUAAGAAAUCAUUCAGUAAAAUCAACCUCUCGCUAGAUACAUUACCACACAUCACAGAAGCCUUCCUGUAAGCAGUGCCUGUGUUUGGAGAAUAAAAUUGUUCAAGGGUGAUGCUGAGUUCAAGCCCACGCUUUUAGGACAUUAGGGAAUUAGCUUAGUUAGCAAUCCUGAAUCAGAAGAACGCAGCUGGUGUUUUUAUAAUAUGUUUCUCGUUUGGAACUGAAAUAUUAUGCUUUCCCCCCAUUUGUCAUUGGAUUUCUUUGGGGGGGGGGCUACAAUAUAUUUCACAAGAACCAGAAAGCUGAAAGGCUCAACUCCUGAAGAGGAAAACUCUGUAGAAAUCAGACAGUUAGCGAGCUAGCUAGCUAGCUAGUUUAACAGACAUGCUAAGAUGGAAGAGGAACAACGCGUAGUCUGGCUGAAUAGCAAGACAUUUAUUUAUUUAUUUAUUUAUUUAUUUAUUACAUUUUUGAUUUAGAACUUUUUAAAAAAACCCUCGUCUUAUAUCCCUCGUGAAACGCUUGAACAUGGCUGACGUUUUUCACAUUCUUGCCUUGGGCUCCCAUCACCCUGUCGCUGGUUCUCCGGUUGUACCUUCCUUGGACCACUUUUGGUAGGUACAAACCACUGCAUACCGGGAAGAGCUCACAAGAUGCUCAGACCCGGCCGUCGAGGCAUCACAAUUUGGCUCAUAUCAAAGUCACUCAGAUCCUUAUGCUUGCCCAUUUUUCCUGCUUCCAACACAUCAACUUUGAGAAAUGACUUUUCACUUGCUGCCGAAUAAAUAUAUCCCACUCCUUGACAGGUGCCACCGUAACGAGAUAAUCAAUGUUAUUCACGUCACCUGUCAGUGGAUUUAACGUUAUGGCUACUCCCUUUAUAUACUUGUCUAAUGUUAGUUACGCUACCUACAAUUCAUUUCUCAAUAAUGAAUAGACACUAUUCACCGUGACAGAAAGCGAGAAUGCCAAGUCAGGGACUUUCAAGCGGGAAAAACUGAAUCGAGAUGAGAGUACCAAAAAAGAAAAAAGAAAAAAAACAUAACGAAGGUGAGAUGAGGAGAAGGGGGUGGGGCUUGCUCUAGGUGUUUUUCUUUGUAUAUGUGUAUGUUCAUCCUCGAUUAUUUAUCACAUCUGUGGAACACUGCAUGAGUUAUCUACUGUUAUACAAAUGUCAUUCAGCACAGCUAUUCUUCAGGCUCAACUGCCUCAAGGGCCGCCACAACCUUUAAAUCCAUCACACACACACAAAACUACAGAGCUUUUUCUAUCUGAACCAACACUUCACAAUACAAUUAAAAUACAAACGCAUGAACUGCUCCAUGCCUGUCUAACAGCACACACACACACACACACACACACACACACGCACACAAAAUGCAAGCGACUAAGGUCAGUAAUUCAGCUGCCACAGAUCACAUCCAAUCAAAUCCCAGUCAAUUCCUUCGAGGGUAGAGAAAAGACGUAGCCUCCAUUUUAAAGAAAGUUAGAGACAGGGCAGGUCAGUGAAUCUCCAGCGCGUUACGUUUGGCAUAAAUAAAUUCAGCCCAAGACGAUGCAAAAAUUCAUGUUCUAACACGAGACAGCUACUUCAAUGCAUGACAGGAAGUAGAGAAAAAAAAGUCGGGAGAAAAUGUACAAACGCUAACCCUGAUUCUUGCAAACAAUUCUUAGCUUUUCAUACAUUUGCAAUACAUGACUGGGGGGGGGCGGGGGGGGGGGGGGGUUUCAUGCAAAAUCAGUUGUAAAGUCUGCCUACUCGGUGGCCAUCUUGGCAAACCAGACAGGGUUUGAAAUGGUCGCCACGUGUAAAUAAUGAAAAAUGUCAGGUUUCUCUGGCUACUGUUCAAUAACACCAGAACACAGGAUAGCCUGUUUGUUAUAAUGCUAGUUAGUAGAUUAGUCUGUUUAUUAUAAUGCUAACUUUCGAGUUAUCCUGUUUACUUUGAAGCUACUUUAUGCAGUAUUUAGCACCUAUAAGAUACAAUGUUUACUAUAAGGUUCAUUUAUGUUUUAGCCUGUUGUACUGUAAUGCCAUUUCUAGAGUUAUCCAGGUCACUGUAAUGUAGUCCAUGGGUUAGCCUGCUUACUAUAAUGCUAGUAAUACAGUUAGCCUGAUCACUAUAAUGCUAAUCCAUAGCUUAGCCAGUUUACUGUAAUGCUGGUUUAUAUUUUAGCUUGUUUAAUAUAAUGCUAGUUUAUAUUUUAUCUAGUUUACUAUAAUUGUAGGACAAGCUCUUUACUGUAAAACUAGUUCUUGGGUUAGCUGGUUUACUAUUAUGGUAGAAUAUAUUUUAGUCUUUAUACUAGAAUUAUAGGAUAGUUUAUUUUACACCUAAUUUAUGAUUUAGCAUGUUUAUUCUAAUGCUAUUUCUAGAGUUAGCCUGGUCACUAUAAUGAUAGCCUGUUUACUAUAAUUCUAGUUUAUGUUGUAGUCUCAUUUAAUGUAAUGCUAGUUAAUACUUUUACAUCUUUUUAUAUGUCUUUUUAUAUAAUGCUUGCUAGUUUGUGGGUUAGUUCAUUUAAAUGAAAAAUGCUAGUUUAUAUUUUAAUUUGCUUACUAUAUAAUGCUAGUCUGUAGGUUAUCCUCUUUAAUGCUAGUCUGUAGGUUAUCCUCUUUACGAUAAUGCUAGUCAGUAGGUUAUCCUCUUUACUAUAAUGCUAGUCCAUAGGUUAUCCUCUUUAAUGCUAGUCUGUAGGUUAUCCUCUUUACUAUAAUGCUAGUCCGUAGGUUAUCCUCUUUACGAUAAUGCUAGUCAGUAGGUUAUCCUCUUUACGAUAAUGCAUAUCUGUAGGUUAUCCUCUUUACUAUAAUGCUAGUCCAUAGGUUAUCCUCUUUAAUGCUAGUCUGUAGGUUAUCCUCUUUACGAUAAUGCUAGUCAGUAGGUUAUCCUCUUUACUAUAAUGCUAGUCCAUAGGUUAUCCUCUUUAAUGCUAGUCUGUAGGUUAUCCUCUUUACUAUAAUGCUAGUCCGUAGGUUAUCCUCUUUAAUGCUAGUCUGUAGGUUAUCCUCUUUACUAUAAUGCUAGUCCGUAGGUUAUCCUCUUUAAUGCUAGUCUGUAGGUUAUCCCCUUUACUGUAAUGCUAGUCUGUAGGUUACUGUAGCCUCUUUACGAUAAUGCUAGUCUGUAGAUUAGCUCCUUUACUACAGGGCUAGUUUCUAUUUUAUUUGUUUACUAUAAUGCUAUUUUGUAGGUUAGCUCGUUUACUACAAUGCUAUAAUCAAUUUGGCAUAAUAAACUGAUUAACCCAAAUGAUCAAUCCAAAUACAUCUCUGCAGGAGUCCACCAACCACUCACUGCCUCGCGUUGCAGUUUUUGCAGAUAUUCUAAUAAUUUGUCGGUUUUCAUGGUUCAGAAAUAGAACGGCCGGUAUUUUUAUGCCAGCAUGCAGAAUGCUGAAAUUGAUCCCAGGAGCUUCUGUUCUAUUUAACCUACUUAAGCAUAAGCGUGUGCAGAAGCCUCAGGGAUUUAACAUUUCCAAGUGUCAAAAUGAAUUAAGCAUCACAGAUACUACUUAAAUCUCUCUCUCUCACUCUCUCUCUCUCUCUCUCACACACACACACACAGAGUAAUAAAAGUUUGUAUUUGAUAUUUAUGCGCUCGGUGCACAGGAAGAAAAGAGAAAUGGAGAAGCAACCUUGGGAAUCCCUUAAUAUUUUGAAUUUUGAGUUGUUGAUGACGAUCAUGUACACAGAAUGGGAGGGAAAGGCAGGGAGGAAAUGUACUUAUUUUCAUUUUUUAAAUACGUGACACCAUUACACUUCACUUGUCCCUAUGUAGCUUUAAUUCACACCUAAGUCUCUCCUAUCAGAUUAACGAAGAGAAACACAGGCAUUUUAUCAUUAUCAGUGGUUGCCUAGGGACAGUGGAUGGAUGAUCACCGAGCGAUGAGCGUGAAGAGGUGCUGUGCGGUCAGACAGCAGACUGAGGUCAGAUUCAUUUUCCUGCCUGGUCAAUAAACACCAACAUGUCAAGCCAUCACACACAACUCCAUUGUUCAUUUCACACAAACUCAUUUAGAGUGUGUCAGUCCAAAUGGUGCUACAGUCGCUUCAUUAAUCCCUGAUUCACUCUUCUCAAACUUCUGAAGGCCUUGAAUUUUCAGAACGGUAGUACUAUCGCCAUGAUUUAUCAGGCUAGCCAUUCAACAGGAAGUAGUGAGGAUGCGGCAGUUUUCGGUGAUGAUACAGAAUCACACCAUCUCAGCAGAUUGCGAGUCGAGAUUAGCGGCCUUAAAAGGGUAACACGAUCCUCUCAUCACCGGGGACAGCCAAUGCCAAAGUUCUGUCAGUGUCAGAAAUGUUUUAUUCAAAUCUCAGCUGCUAUGGCGCUCGUCUAAAAGCCACCAAUAAGAGGACAGCAGUAGCAGGAUUUAACGAAACUCACACAGCUACAAACAUGGGAGCUGAAAUGGUGAAGCGUAAACGAAACAUGGGACGACUCUUUGCUUUUGUAAAAUGUUUUUACUAGACAUAACAUCGUCCGGUUUGGUGAAAUAAAUACUUCUAGUUCUUCAAGCUGAUGUGUCAAGGUUAUAGACAGUCCAUUACACAUACAGUAUACAAGACAAUAAAUACAAAAAGUACAAGACAUUGUGUGCAGACUGUAAUCACAGAUAAUAAAAAUGGUCAAUUAGCCUAUUAUUGUUCUUGCCUUGAGCAGUGCAGAGAUAUGAAAUAGAGCCGCAUGAUAUUACACAGUUCACAGAUGUAGACUGUUGCCCUAAUAGACUUCAGUGAUGUUCAUAUCUGCAUAUCUUUGCACUUCAGUCUGUCUGCAGGGAAACCGGAAAGCAUCGUCGUACAGUACAAGUAACCUGAUAAAACACCUUACGGCAUUUAAGCAGCAUCUUUAAUAGACAGUGUGAGGAUGUAUCGGGAGCAGUAUCAGUGAGCGUAAUCGUUCAAAAUUAGAACAUGGUAUCAAAGAAACAUCAAUCCCGCCGACCAUCCAUCCAUUUUCUGUACCGCUUAUCCGACACAGGGUUACAGAUGAGCCUGGAGACUAUCCCAGGGAACUCGGGGAACAACGCAGGGGACACCGUGGACGGGUUGCCAAGCUAUUGCACGGCACAAUCGCACACUACGGGCAAUUUGGAAAUGCCAAUCAGCCUACGGUACAUGUCUUUGGACUGGGGGAGGAAACUGGAGUACCUGGAGGAAACCCCCGAAGCACAGAGAGAACAUGCAAACGCCACGCAUACAUGGUGGUGGCAGGAUUCAAAACGCCAACCCUGGAGGUGUGAGGCAAACAUGCUAACCACUAAGCCACCGUGCAGUAUAUCACAUACGAUGAUAUUCUAUGUUACCAUGUAGUAUUGGUCCUGUAAUGAUGCAUCCCUAAGUGAAACGAUUAGAUCGAUUCCCAUUACAAGUGGGUGUUUUUCUUGUCAGGCUUUUGAAAGUGCAAAUUCAAAAAGCCGACGGAGACCCCAUUCAUGCUUGGCUUUGGUUUGUCUGUGCGUAGACUAUGAGCAUGCCUGGCUGGAGAGUCGUCGUCAGCAUCGGUAUGACAUCAAUAAAUGGUGAGUCAAACAGCUAGCUACUGCGCUUGAAAGAGCGACAAAACACUUUUAGACUAAUGGCAAGCCAAAAACGCAAUGCCUAAUGCAGGAUCAAGCAUGGACCAAACAGGAAAAGCAGGCACUUAUACCCAGUCAGUCAAACCUGUCACAGUCCAGCCAAUCGUCUGUAAUGUAUUUGUGUCAGUAUCCACUCUCGGCCAUGUUCUGAUGAUGGUUUUGCAGUUCUGUCCUCUGACACACUGGCCACUUUGUAUUCAGCAUGGGAGCUGCUGCCGUUAAUUAGCCUCUGUCUGUCGCUGAGCAGAACCAGCAUAAAUCAAGCCUGCUCUUGCCAGGCCUCAUUAGGGCGCUUUGAGUGACGCUGAGACGGCACAAGGCCAGGCGUUUAAGUCGGAGCACACCCAGCGCUGUUUUUACAGCUCACUUCAGAGCAAUGGAAGGAUGGAGCGGAACGGAGGGGAGGGGAGUCCAAAUGGACUUUUUGGCAAAUGGUUUUGGCGAAAAUAAAUAAAUAAAUAAAAAAUGGGAGCACUUCAAGCACUUCGCUUCCAAAUCUAGCCGGAUAGCAGAUGGAAUAGGAUUGGGGUUAGGCAAAAUUUUCGGAUCGGUUACAGCAAUGGCGUCUACUGUGUGCUAAUAAUGGCCCAAAUUAAUUAUGGCUGGUGUUGAUAUUAGAUGUGAGGGCGAAAAUCUAACAUCUAUCAAUAGCUCAACAAUAAAUCUAGGUCUCAUCGAUGGCAUAAUACGAACGAUAUGGAGCAAAUGAUCACACACAUACACACACUUAACAGCAAAUAGUCAUGAUUUCUAAUUUCUUUCAAAGAGUUUCCGGUCUCUAAAGUGUCCGUAGUGUAUGAAUGGGUGUGUGAGUGUGUAUGUGAUUGUGCCCUGCGAUGGACUGGCACCCUGUCCAGGGUGUACCCCGGCUUGUGCCCGAUGCUCCCUGGUUAGGCUCCAGGUUCCCCUGCGACCCUGAAAAGGAGUAAGCAGUUGAAGAUGGAUGGAUGGAUGGAUGGAUGAGUUUCUGGUCUGUAGUAAUGCCCUACUAGGUUCAUGCCAUAUUUCCUUUGCAGAACAAACAUGAAAAAAGUUGUAACCACAAGCCACCAAAACACCUUCAUUGCACCUUGGCAUCAAUUCUACACGUCUCUGGAACUGUACUGGAGCAUUGAACACUGCUCUUCCAGAAGAUCCUCAAUAUGGUGUUUUCAUAAUAGUGGUGAAGAGCGCUGCCUACUGUAAAGCAUCGAUCCAAAAUCUCCCAACCUGGGUUGAGAUCUGGUGACUGUGAAAACUAUAAUGUGAUUUAUUUCAUUUUCAUCCUCACCAAACCAAUCAGUGAGUAUCCCUUGUGUCACAUGGAUUGAGGGCAGAGGCAUCCUGGAAGAGGCCAUUCCCAUCAGGAUAGAAAUGGAAAUGUAGGAUAAACAUUAAAUCAAUAAUUGCCCUCCAGAGCAUAACAGAGCCACUGGGCACUUUUUAAAAAAAAUAUAUUAUUCCCCUUUAAUUUGUCAUUCAUCUGUAUUGUCUAAUUAUAAAUGUGCAAAGAAUGCAAAGUCUUCACUAACUGAUAACAAGAAAACAGAAUUACGUCUUGAUUGUCCAGCGAUUCAUUUAUUUAUUUUUUUAGUUACUUUUCUUUGUUUCUCAACUUGUUCAGUCAUGCCAUUUGAUGUCUCCAAACUGUGUCCAAACUUGACAUUCAACCAAACCAAUGUUUCUGUGGCAACCAGAAAGGAGCAUGAGUCAUGUGGGGAAUGAGGUGGCCCACUAAACUGGAGCUCCACAUCUCAUGGGCUGGAUAUCACCUCAGAUAUCCAAUAACACUCAUCAAAAGCUAUCAUGAAAUGUCACUGCUUAAGUUUCGAGAGGUGUCCAUUACAGUAUAUUGAACAUUU